GAUGAAGAACGUAGCGAAAUGCGAUAAGUAAUGUGAAUUGCAGAAUUCCGUGAAUCAUCGAAUCUUUGAACGCACAUUGCGCCCCCUGGUAUUCCGGGGGGCAUGCCUGUCCGAGCGUCAUUGCAACCUUCAAGCGCGGCUUGUGUGUUGGGUCUCGUCCCCCGUGGACGGGCCCGAAAGGCAGUGGCGGCGUCCCGACAUGGUGCCCGAGCGUAUGGGAAUCCUCUUCCGCUCGAAUCGGCCCAUGCGGCGCUGGUCGUAACCAAAUUUUUUACCGGUUGACCUCAGAUCAGGUAGGGAUACCCGCUGAACUUAAGCAUAUCAAUAAGCGGAGGA
rnacentral:misc_RNA from 1 species